UGCCCCAGUAACGGCGAGUGAAGCGGCAACAGCUCAAAUUUGAAAUCUGGCUCUCGGGCCCGAGUUGUAAUUUGUAGAGGAUGCUUUUGGCGAGGUGGCUUCUGAGUUCCCUGGAACGGGACGCCAGAGAGGGUGAGAGCCCCGUAUAGUCGCACACCAAGCCUUUGUAAAGCUCCUUCGACGAGUCGAGUAGUUUGGGAAUGCUGCUCAAAAUGGGAGGUAUAUCUCUUCUAAAGCUAAAUAUAGGCCAGAGACCGAUAGCGCACAAGUAGAGUGAUCGAAAGAUGAAAAGCACUUUGAAAAGAGGGUUAAAUAGCACGUGAAAUUGUUGAAAGGGAAGCGCUUGUGACCAGACUUGUGCCGGGCUGAUCAUCCACCGUUCUCGGUGGUGCACUCGACCCGGCUCAGGCCAGCGUCGGUUCUCGCAGGGGGACAAAAGCUUCGGGAACGUGGCACCUUCGGGUGUGUUAUAGCCCGUUGCUUAAUACCCUUGUGGGGACCGAGGUUCGCGCUCUGCAAGGACGCUGGCAUAAUGGUCAUCAGCGAC
rnacentral:rRNA from 1 species